rnacentral:tRNA from 1 species
GGAAGCGUGCCUGAGCGGUUUAAAGGGCUUGUCUUGAAAACAAGUAGGUCAGAAAUGGCCUCGGAGGUUCGAAUCCUCCCGCUUCCG